UACGAAGGGGGCUAGCGUUGCUCGGAAUCACUGGGCGUAAAGGGUGCGUAGGCGGUCCUUUAAGUCUGGGGUGAAAGCCUGGAGCUCAACUCCAGAACUGCCUUUGAUACUGAAGAUCUUGAGUUCGGGAGAGGUGAGUGGAACUGCGAGUGUAGAGGUGAAAUUCGUAGAUAUUCGCAAGAACACCAGUGGCGAAGGCGGCUCACUGGCCCGAUACUGACGCUGAGGCACGAAAGCGUGGGGAGCAAACAGG
rnacentral:rRNA from 1 species